rnacentral:ribozyme from 13 species
UUUUCUUCUUCUGAUUCUUCCGCUUCCUCUUCUUCUUCUUCUGAUCCUUCUUCUUCUCUCUCUUCGUUAUCAAAGUUUAAUCUUUUCAUUAAGAGGGAUGAUGAAACGGGAUGUGUGAUUGGAGGAAACAAAAUUCGAAAAUUAGAAUUUAUUCUUGCAGAAGCUCUUCGCCAACAAAAGAAGGCAA